rnacentral:rRNA from 1 species
UUGCAGUUAAAAAGCUCGUAGUUGGAUUUCUGCGGGGGCGGGGCGGCCGGAUGCUUAUAGCAUCUCGAGCUAGCACUUCCCCCGCAUCCUGCCGCGAACCGUGCUACCAUUAGUUUGGUGGCGCUGGGGAUCGGCUCGUUUACAUUGAGAAAAAUAGAGUGUUCAAAGCAGGCCACACGCCUUGAAUAAGUUAGCAUGGAAUAAUGAUAAAGGACUUCGGUUCUAUUUUGUUGGUGUUCGGGACUGAAGUAAUGAUUGAUAGGGACAGUUGGGGCGGUCAGUAUUCCAAAGCGAGAGGUGAAAUUCUUAGACCUUCGGAAGACUAACAGCUGCGAAAGCGUUCCGCAAGGAUGUUCCCUUUGAUCAGGAACGAAAGUUGGGGGAUCGAAGACGAUCAGAUACCGUCGUAGUCUCAACUAUAAACUAUACCAGCUAGGGAUCGGCCGACGUUUACUUAUAUCGACUCGGUCGGCACCUUAUGAGAAAUCAAAGCAUCUGGGUUCCGGGGGGAGUAUGGUCGCAA